UACCAGCACCCCGAGUGGUCGGGACGAUUAUUGGGCCUAAAGCAUCCGUAGCCGGCCUCACAAGUCCUCCGUUAAAUCCAGCUGCUUAACAGAUGGGCUGCGGAGGAUACUAUAAGACUAGGAGGCAGGAGAGGCAAGCGGUACUCAGUGGGUAGGGGUAAAAUCCGUUGAUCCAUUGAAGACCACCAGUGGCGAAGGCGGCUUGCCAGAAUGCGCUCGACGGUGAGGGAUGAAAGCUGGGGGAGCAAACCGG
rnacentral:rRNA from 1 species